GAUGAACGUUGGCGGCGUGCCUAAUACAUGCAAGUCGAACGGAGAUUGUAGUAAUACGGUCUCAGUGGCGAACGGGUGAGUAACGCGUUGGUGACCUGCCCCGAAGUGUGGAAUAACAGAUCGAAAGAGCUGCUAAUACCGCAUAAUAUCCAGAAGAUUAGACGCUUUUGGAUUAAAGGAUUUAUUCGCUUCGGGAGGGGCCUGCGUCCCAUCAGCUAGUUGGUAAGGUUAAUGGCUUACCAAGGCUAUGACGGGUAGGGGACCUGAGAGGGUGGCCCCCCACAAUGGAACUGAAACACGGUCCAUACACCUACGGGUGGCAGCAGUAGGGAAUAUUAGUAAUGGGCGAAAGCCUGAACUAGCAACGCCGCGUGUGCGAAGAAGGCCUUCGGGUUGUAAAGCACUUUUAGAGAGGAUGAGGAAGGACGGUACUCUCAGAAUAAGUCUCGGCUAACUACGUG
rnacentral:rRNA from 1 species